AUUGAACGCUGGCGGCAGGCCUAACACAUGCAAGUCGAGCGGAUGAAGGGAGCUUGCUCCUGGAUUCAGCGGCGGACGGGUGAGUAAUGCCUAGGAAUCUGCCUGGUAGUGGGGGAUAACGUCCGGAAACGGGCGCUAAUACCGCCUACGUCCUGAGGGAGAAAGUGGGGGACCUUCGGACCUCACGCUAUCAGAUGAGCCUAGGUCGCCUUAGCUAGUUGGUGGGGUAAAGGCCUACCAAGGCGACGAUCCAUAACUGGUCUGAGAGGAUGAUCAGUCACAAUGGAACUGAGACACAGUCCAGACUCCUACGGGAAGCAGCAGUGGGGAAUAUUGGACGAUGGGCGAAAGCAUGAUACAGCCAUGCCGCGUGUGUGAAGAAGGUAUUCGGAUUGUAAAGCACUGUAAGUUGGGAGGAAGGGCAGUAAGUUAAUACCUUGCUGUUUUGACGUUACCAACAGAAUAAGCACCGGCUAACUUCGUG
rnacentral:rRNA from 1 species